rnacentral:rRNA from 1 species
ACCCAAAUUUUUAUCCAGGUUGACCUCGGAUCAGGUAGGGAUACCCGCUGAACUUAAGCAUAUCAAUAAGCGGAGGAAAAGAAACCAACAGGGAUUGCCCCAGUAACGGCGAGUGAAGCGGCAAAGAGCUCAAUUUGAAAGCUGGCUCCUUCGGGGUC